UACAUGGGGUGCAAACGUUGCUCGGAAUUAUUGGGCGUAAAGCGCACGUAGGCGGUUCGUUAAGUCGGAUGUGAAAGCCCUCGGCUCAACUGAGGAAGUGCACCCGAAACUGGCGAGCUUGAGUACGAAAGAGGAUCGCGGAAUUCCCGGUGUAGCGGUGAAAUGCGCAGAUAUCAGGAGGAACACCGGUGGCGAAGGCGGGUCUCUGGGCCGAAACUGACGCUGAGGAGCGAAAGCGUGGGGGAGCGAACAGG
rnacentral:rRNA from 1 species